GAUGAACGCUGGCUGCGUGCUUAACACAUGCAAGUCGAACGGUGAACACGGAGCUUGCUCUGUGGGAUCAGUGGCGAACGGGUGAGUAACACGUGAGCAACCUGCCCCUGACUCUGGGAUAAGCGCUGGAAACGGCGUCUAAUACUGGAUAUGUGACGUGACCGCAUGGUCUGCGUUUGGAAAGAUUUUUCGGUUGGGGAUGGGCUCGCGGCCUAUCAGCUUGUUGGUGAGGUAAUGGCUCACCAAGGCGUCGACGGGUAGCCGGCCUGAGAGGGUGACCGGCCACACUGGGACUGAGACACGGCCCAGACUCCUACGGGAGGCAGCAGUGGGGAAUAUUGCACAAUGGGCGCAAGCCUGAUGCAGCAACGCCGCGUGAGGGAUGACGGCCUUCGGGUUGUAAACCUCUUUUAGCAGGGAAGAAGCGAAAGUGACGGUACCUGCAGAAAAAGCGCCGGCUAACUACGUG
rnacentral:rRNA from 1 species